GGCUCCGGUGGCGGGGAUGCCGGUGCUGCUCGUGGUGGCAGUGGCAAGAGUCCCGUCGCUGCCGGCGUCCCCCUCGCCGCCGCAGCCG
rnacentral:tRNA from 1 species